ensembl:snoRNA SNORD115 Small nucleolar RNA SNORD115
GGGUCAAUGGGGAAAUCUUUGACUUGUCUCUAGAGAGGUGUUGUCUUAAAAGUUAUGCUCAAUAGAGUUACGCUGAGGACCC